rnacentral:rRNA from 1 species
UACGAAGGGGGCUAGCGUCGCUCGGAAUUACUGGGCGUAAAGGGAGCGUAGGCGGGUUAUCAAGUUGGAGGUGAAAGCCCAGGGCUCAACCUUGGAAUUGCCUUCAAAACUGAUAACCUAGAGGAUAGAAGAGGUAAGUGGAACUCCGAGUGUAGAGGUGAAAUUCGUAGAUAUUCGGAAGAACACCAGUGGCGAAGGCGACUUACUGGUCUAUUACUGACGCUGAGGCUCGAAAGCGUGGGGAGCAAACAGG